GGGGAGGUAACGGGAGAGGUGUGAUGAACCUGGGAUGUAUAUAGCCUCCCGCACAGCAUCGAUAAAAGGGGAACACCUUGAGAGAGGCGCAGACGAGCCGCCGCGGAGCCGCCGGACACCGCAGCUGUGCGCGGGGGCCUCUGUGGCGCAUGUGGACGGGCGAGCCAACGCACCGCAGGAAUGUGUGCAGAUCAGAGGCAAACGCACAUGCUCGGGCUUUUACUAUGUAUGUGGUGCUCGAUCGUUUUCAAGUCCUCGGGCAGUGUAGUAGAGACUACGGGGUCACUUUGCUGUGCCGCUGUCGGAAACCUAUAAUUGGAAACGAGCCAGUGACGCGCUGAAAAUAACCAGGUUAGCACUUAGUACCGGUCCAUUUUGGGGAGGGCCCAACACGAGGGCGCAGCACCAUAUAUCAGCUCUUUCCAGCUGUUUGGGAAUAUCCUGCUCUAGAAAAGCUGCAGCACGGCGGCAGCAGCAGCGGCGCAAGCAGGGUGCUUUUUCUCCCGCCCCCCCUUCCAGAAUGGAUAUUGGGUGAGUGACUGGGUGCGCACGGGGGGAUCUCUUGUUGGGAAACGCAGAAGCUCUCUCUCCCUCUCUCUUUUUUUUCUUGAAGGGAGGGAGGGCGGGAGGGGAGGUGGGAGACUGGCACAAGGCUCGACACUGUUGCGUCUGCAUGUUUUUUCUCCUUGGACAGACAGGAAAAAAGAUGGACCAGGGGGACUGUCCGACUUAUUCCACAAGAGAGUUCCCGGCCCCCACCCCCCCAAAAGGAUAAUCUUGCUCAAUUUGGGAUGCGUGCAACACCAAGUGAUCACAUAUUACUUGGGCGGCGGUGGUGCUGGUGGUGGAUGGACGGUGAAGUUCAACUUCGCAUGCAGACGCGAUCUCCUCCAGGCAGCCAGACAAACCCACCAGACAGUCGGCGCGUAUUACGUGAAGAGGUCUCCAUAUGGGCUACGGGAUGCGAACACCUGCCCGGUACGCAGGUAACUACAAUCCGACGGUGUCGCCUACUUCUUCGAACACCGACAGGCAGCAGAUCAGCAGCACAGUCUCUCUGAACCUAUUGUGGAGCUAACAUGGCUGCCAGCAAUAAGACAUGAUGACAUUAUCCUGCUUUCUUGCUGGAGGCCUCCCAGUAAGGAGUUCUUGUGAACACAUCUUCCGAGUGACAUGGAGACGGGCCUGCAGCCACCAGCGGAGCUGAGCCGAGCCGCUUUAGAGCCCUGCUGAGACCUGCCAGGCCCACAGCUUUCCCUGCCAGGGGCCUCGCUCGAAGUCAAAGUCAUUGUGAUGCUGAAAGACCUGUCCACAACCCGGAAAGGAGGUUCUCUUCCAAGAUUUUAUGGUCCAUUGGCUCAAAGUGUUGAAGUUGUCCUGUACAAUCUCAAAUGGAUCUCCAGAUUGAGGGUCUACGGUUUUGUCCCUGACGUCCUUUGACCACUCUUUGGUCUUGCCCAUGGUGGUGGAGAGGUUGGAAUGGAAGAAACUGAAUCUGAUCCAGAGUCUUUGUUGAUGCAUCAGACAGAUGAACUGACUGCAGUGAAAAGGGAGUAAAAUACCUGCAGGAGGAGCGUCGGAUCUUUUUUUGUUUGUUAUUUUUAUUCUUGUAUUUAAAAGAUCUCAGUCUAGCUCUCAGGGAAGUAAAAGGGAGUCUGAGCUGUAACAGGAGUGUGUGUGUGUGAGAUCACAUCAUGUGUGAGUUUGAGCACACUGUGUGUGUGUGUGCAUGUGUGUGAGAUUAGAGAAGGGCAAAGAGUUGAGGUGGUGUUUGAUGCUAGUCUCAGUGGCAGGCUUCAAAAAAACUAAAACAAAAACCUGUCACUCAGCUUCUCUCCACGCAAUGCAUACACACACAAACACACAUGUGACCACCCGCAUACACUGCACUCACACAAUCUGGCUCUCCAGCACAGCCAUAGACUUCUAGCAGCAACACCUCUGACCAUGUAAAACCUCUCUCCCUGUGCAGGCACACACAUGCAUUAAUACUUGCACACACAUGCAACCUUAUAGGCACACAUAUAGAACAGUUCUAAGCAUACAAAUAACAAAUAAACCGAGUCAAUUCAGUGUACAAUCGGAGUAUCAUAAAGGAUCAAUUCCUGCAGAACACGCACAUGUACUGGAGUACACGUGCACAGACAUACAGACUUACUGUAUGGAUGCUGUACUCUUGUGUGUAAUCCUAAAGUAAAUAGGGUGCUAAGUAAACGCCUAACUCAGCAACUUAUUCUCUUUGUCACGUACACACAUUUAACCAGCACCCAAGCUGGGAGAUCUUGGUCUUUCCUUUACAGUAGGUCAUUUCUUUCAACAGAUUUAUCACCGGUGUUGCACAACCCAUUCGAUUAUCUGUGUCUGUGUGCCCUUCGUGAGAGAGUGACCAACUGAGCUUCUGUGAUAGUGUCUCUGCGGGUGUUUGUGUGUAUCAGAGGGCCGUAGGCUCAAGCUAUUAAGAUCAG
ensembl:lncRNA